AAACUAACAAGGAUUCCCCUAGUAACGGCGAGUGAAGCGGGAUGAGCUCAAAUUUAAAAUCUGGCGGCCUCAGGUCGUCCGAGUUGUAGUCUAGAGAAUCGUUUUCCGCGUUGGCCUGUGUACAAGUCCCUUGGAACAGGGCGUCAUAGAGGGUGAGAAUCCCGUCCUUGACACAGACUACCAAUGCUUUGUGAUGCGAUCUCGAAGAGUCGAGUUGUUUGGGAAUGCAGCUCAAAAUGGGUGGUAAAUUCCAUCUAAAGCUAAAUAUUGGCGAGAGACCGAUAGCGAACAAGUACCGUGAGGGAAAGAUGAAAAGCACUUUGGAAAGAGAGUUAAACAGUACGUGAAAUUGUUAAAAGGGAAACGAUUGAAGUCAGUCAUGCUUUCCGAGACUCAGCCGAUUCUGUCGGUGUACUUCUCGGUUGGCAGGCCAGCAUCAGUUUCGAUCUGUGGAAAAGGUUGGAGGGAACGUGGCAUCCUCGGAUGUGUUAUAGCCCUUCUUCGAAUACAUAGAGCGGGACUGAGGAACGCAGCGCGCCUUUUAUUAGGUUGGCCCUCGGGUACAUACGCGCUUAGGAUGCUGGCAUAAUGGCUUUAAACGAC
rnacentral:rRNA from 1 species